AGCUCCAAUAGCGUAUAUUGAAGUUGCUGCGGUUGAAAAGCUCGUAGUUGGAUUUCUGCCGAGGACGACCGGUCCGCCCUCUGGGUGAGCACCUGGUUCGGCCUGGGCAUCUUCCUGGGGAGCGUGGCUGUACUUGACUGUGUGGCGCGGUGUCUGGGACUUUUACUUUGAGGAAAUUAGAGUGUUUCAAGCAGGCUCACGCCUUGAAUACAUUAGCAUGGAAUAAUAAGAUAGGACCUUGGUUUUAUUUUGUUGGUUUCUAGAGCUGAGGUAAUGAUUAAUAGGGAUAGUUGGGGGCAUUCGUAUUUAACUGUCAGAGGUGAAAUUCUUGGAUUUGUUAAGGACGGACUACUGCGAAAGCAUUUGCCAAGAAUGUUUUCAUUG
rnacentral:rRNA from 1 species